rnacentral:rRNA from 1 species
ACACCUCAAUUUAUUUUGAUAUUUAACCCUAAAUUAUAAAGAAAUCACUCCAAAAAUCUAGUAGAACCAUCAAAUUAUACAAUUUUAAAAACCGCAAGGUAGCUAAAAAGUACCCCCAAGAAUAGAUAAACACAAAUCCCUCUUGCAUCAUGGAGAAGCAACAAACUAAAGAAAAUUCUUCAUCCCGAAAGGUUAAGAGCUAUUAAGUUUAAAUGUUAAUGUGUCAUAAUUAACACAAAAAAUUUAAUAGAGGCGAAAAACCUAUCACGUAACCUGAUAGCUGGCUCUUCUCAAAAAGUAUUUUAGUACUACCUUACACCAAACACUAUUAUAUUUUAAAGAGUGUAAAAGUCAAACUUUUAAGGAUCAGCCUAAAAGUUAUAAAGAAACAAUAAACCCCAAACCAUACAAAAUAGGCUUAAAAGCAGCCAUAAAAGCGUUCCAGCUAAAUUGAUCACUCCACUAUCAUAAUAUAUUAGUUCCAUAACAAGAGAAGCUUACAGAAAAACAUCCACCUAUAAUGACCCGGCAUUCUAUUAGUAUUAACCUAUCAUCAAUUAUUAAGAUAACAAGAAAUUAAAACCAAAAACACUUGAUUUUAUAAAUCAUAAAUAGCGAAUUCAGCAAUUAAAACUUCCGCCUGUUUAACAAAAACAUCGUCUUUUGCAAAUUUUAUAAAAGAUAAUGCCUGCCCAGUGAGUACUUAAACGGCCGCGUUAGCGUGAGCGUGCUAAGGUAGCGUAAUAAACAGCCCCUUAAUUAGGGGCCAGUGAAAGGCAACACGGAAGUUAACUUUUCCAUUUAUGUUAAAAAGAACUUUCUAUCCAUGUAAAAAAGCAUGGAUCCUUGAGGAAGACGAAAAGACCCCGCGGAGCUUUACUUAAAAUAUGUUUAAAUUACCUUUACUUAAUAAAUCAUACUACAAGUUUGGUUGGGGCAACCAUGGAGUAAAUAAAACCUCCACAUCAUCUCCACUUCAUAAUUAUAAAAAAAUAGUUAUAGAAUAUAAAGAAGCUACCCCGGGGAUAACAGCGUUAUCUAACUUGAGAGUACACAUCGAAAGCUGGGUUUGCGACCUCGAUGUUGGCUUAAGGAAAUCCAUUUUAUAACAAGCAGCGCAGCAGCUAAAAACAGGACAGUCUGUUCGACUAAUAAACCCUUUCAUGAGCUGAGUUAAGACCGGCGUGAGCUAGGUUGGUUUCUAUCUCCUUAAUUUAAAUAAGCUCUCAAUUGUACGAAAGGACCCUGAGACUCCUUUUAAAGGAAAUAAAUUCCCAAUCGACAU